GACGAACGCUGGCGGCGUGCUUAACACAUGCAAGUCGAACGGAAAGGCCCUGCUUUUGUGGGGUGCUCGAGUGGCGAACGGGUGAGUAACACGUGAGUAACCUGCCCUUGACUUUGGGAUAACUUCAGGAAACUGGGGCUAAUACCGGAUAGGAGCUCCUGCUGCAUGGUGGGGGUUGGAAAGUUUCGGCGGUUGGGGAUGGACUCGCGGCUUAUCAGCUUGUUGGUGGGGUAGUGGCUUACCAAGGCUUUGACGGGUAGCCGGCCUGAGAGGGUGACCGGCCACAUUGGGACUGAGAUACGGCCCAGACUCCUACGGGCGGCAGCAGUGGGGAAUAUUGCACAAUGGGCCGAAGCCUGAUGCAGCAACGCCGCGUGCGGGAUGACGGCCUUCGGGUUAUAAACCGCUUUCGCCUGUGACGAAGCGUGAGUGGCGGUAAUGGGUAAAGAAGCACCGGCUAACUACGUG
rnacentral:rRNA from 1 species